UACGUAGGUGACCAGCGUUGUCCGGAUUUACUGGGCGUAAAGAGCGCGCAGGCGGUCGUUCAAGUCGAGUGUGAAAGCCCCCGGCUCAACUGGGGAGGGUCACUUGAUACUGAUCGACUCGAAGGCAGGAGAGGGAAGCGGAAUUCCCGGUGUAGUGGUGAAAUGCGUAGAUAUCGGGAGGAACACCAGUGGCGAAGGCGGUUGCCUGGAGCUUUGCUGACGCUGAUGCGCGAAAGCGUGGGGAGCGAUCCGG
rnacentral:rRNA from 1 species